GGGUUUGAUCCUGGCUCAGGAUGAACGCUAGCGGCAGGCUUAACACAUGCAAGUCGAACGGUAAGGCCCUGCUUGCAGGGUACACGAGUGGCGCACGGGUGCGUAACGCGUAUGCAACCUACCUCUAACAGGGAGAUAGCCCAGAGAAAUUUGGAUUAAUAUCCCAUAAUAUUAAGAUACCACAUGGUAUUUUACUUAAAGCUCCGGCGGUUAGAGAUGGGCAUGCGUGACAUUAGCUAGUUGGUAAGGUAACGGCUUACCAAGGCUACGAUGUCUAGGGGAUCUGAGAGGAUGGUCCCCCACACUGGUACUGAGACACGGACCAGACUCCUACGGGAGGCAGCAGUGAGGAAUAUUGGUCAAUGGACGCAAGUCUGAACCAGCCAUGCCGCGUGCAGGAUGACGGCCCUAUGGGUUGUAAACUGCUUUUCUGCACCAAGAAAUACCCCGACGUGUUGGGGCUUGACGGUAGUGUAGGAAUAAGCACCGGCUAACUCCGUGCCAGCAGCCGCGGUAAUACGGAGGGUGCAAGCGUUAUCCGGAUUUAUUGGGUUUAAAGGGUUCGCAGGCGGCGUAUUAAGUCAGUGGUGAAAUCUCACAGCUCAACUGUGAAACUGCCAUUGAUACUGAAAUUCUUGAGUAUAGUUGAGGUAGGCGGAAUGUGUAAUGUAGCGGUGAAAUGCUUAGAUAUUACACAGAACACCGAUUGCGAAGGCAGCUUACUAAGCUAUUACUGACGCUGAUGCACGAAAGCGUGGGGAGCGAACAGGAUUAGAUACCCUGGUAGUCCACGCCGUAAACGAUGAUAACUCGAUGUUGGCAAUACACCGUCAGCGUCCAAGCGAAAGCGUUAAGUUAUCCACCUGGGGAGUACGAUCGCAAGAUUGAAACUCAAAGGAAUUGACGGGGGCCCGCACAAGCGGAGGAGCAUGUGGUUUAAUUCGAUGAUACGCGAGGAACCUUACCUGGGCUCAAAUGUAGAAUGACAGUCCCCGAAAGGGGAUCUUUCUUCGGAACAAUUUACAAGGUGCUGCAUGGUUGUCGUCAGCUCGUGCCGUGAGGUGUCGGGUUAAGUCCCAUAACGAGCGCAACCCCUAUCUUUAGUUGCCAUCAGAUAAUGCUGGGGACUCUAAAGAAACUGCCUACGCAAGUAGUGAGGAAGGUGGGGAUGACGUCAAAUCAGCACGGCCCUUAUGUCCAGGGCUACACACGUGCUACAAUGGCCAGUACAGAGGGUCGCUACCUGGUGACAGGAUGCUAAUCUCGAAAGCUGGUCUCAGUUCGGAUUGGAGUCUGCAACUCGACUCCAUGAAGCUGGAAUCGCUAGUAAUCGCACAUCAGCCAUGGCGCGGUGAAUACGUUCCCGGGCCUUGUACACACCGCCCGUCAAGGCAUGGAAGUUGGGGGUACCUAAAGUCCGUAACCGCAAGGAGCGGCCUAGGGUAAAACCAGUGACUGGGGCUAAGUCGUAACAAGGUAACCGU
rnacentral:rRNA from 1 species